GUACUCGCUUUGGCAGCACAUAUACUAAAACUGGAAUGAUAAGCAUGGCCCCUGCAUGAGAAUGACAUGUAAAUUGAUGAAGCAUUCCAUUUUUUU
ensembl:snRNA U6 U6 spliceosomal RNA